rnacentral:lncRNA from 1 species
AGGGCAUGAUUAGUUGUAGGAACAAUCGAAUCGAAAUUAGAUAAGUAUUUAUAUCUUCCCUUGUAGCUAAUUAAGUGAGCUAGUGCUUUGAGAGUUUGGAUUAACAGAGGUGUUGAACAUGGUCAAUGGCUAGAAAAUGUUUGCCACAUCAAUGAACAUUUUCAAAAUAAAUUUUCCACACAAUUGAGAGGCUAAAUUAUCUACAAGACAGGUUUUUGGAGGCGAUAGACAUGCAUUGUCUAAGGAAGACUAAUGUCAAAAUCUAGCAAGCUGUUAGAGUAAAAGAUAAACAUGUUUGCCAAACAAUUUUUACUUUAAAAAACAUCGAUGGUAAAU